CCUGGCGGCCGUAGCGCGGUGGUCCCACCUGACCCCAUGCCGAACUCAGAAGUGAAACGCCGUAACGCCGAUGGUAGUGUGGGGUCUCCCCAUGCGAGAGUAGGGAACUGCCAGGC
rnacentral:rRNA from 1 species